GAUGAAGAACGUAGCGAAAUGCGAUAAGUAAUGUGAAUUGCAGAAUUCAGUGAAUCAUCGAAUCUUUGAACGCACAUUGCGCCCUCUGGUAUUCCGGGGGGCAUGCCUGUUCGAGCGUCAUUAUAACCACUCAAGCUCUCGCUUGGGAUUGGGGUUCGCGGUUCCGCGGCCCCUAAAAUCAGUGGCGGUGCCUGUCGGCUCUACGCGUAGUAAUACUCCUCGCGAUUGAGUCCGGUAGGUCUACUUGCCAGCAACCCCCAAUUUUUACAGGUUGACCUCGGAUCAGGUAGGGAUACCCGCUGAACUUAAGCAUAUCAAUAAGCGGAGGA
rnacentral:misc_RNA from 1 species